UACCCAAAGAACCUUGUCUGCUUACGUCCUUAGACCACUACAGCUACUACCUACACCCCUAAAAGAGAGAAUUCACACAGAAUAAUUGCACAAUAUUCUGGAAAGGAACCGAAUGUUUAUUGCUGAAAGAUGCAUCUAGUUGCAAUAAAGAAUGCAGACAGGCUGCUGGGAUGUCCUCACAGAUGGACAAAAUAUAAAUCAGAAGAAUCAUCGUUGUUCCUGCUACACGUGCCCUGGUGAGCCUCAUUAGAGUGUGUUUGUGGCCUGCUACUACAUCCAGGAUUAGCUUGAGCUCAUUUCCCCAGUGAGCAAAUGAUAGGUUGAAAGCUCAGGGGGAUGAUUUCAGGAAGGCACAUUUAUCAAGCUCGUGAGGCAAGUGAGAACCUGAGGAAACAGCUGAAGACUGUGGGCCACACUGCGGAAGAAGCUGCAGACCCUGGUUGAGUGUUCAGGAGGGUACAAUAAAGGAAUUUGAUAUUAAUGUGGGUUUUCUUUUUCUUGGGCUCAGUUCUCUCCCCGUACACCCAGGCAGUUUUCACAGAAAGCUGUGGAAGUUGAGCAUACAUGUUUCAUAGAUUCAUAGAUGUCAGGGUCGGAAGGGACCUCAACAGAUCAUUGAGUCUGACCCCCUGCCUGGGCAGGAAAGAGUGCUGAGGUCAGAUGACCCCAGCCAGAUGCCUAUCCAGCCUUCUCUUGAAGACCCCCAAGGUAGGGCAGACCACCACCUCCCUUGGAGGCCCAUUCCAAGAUUUGGCCACCCUUACCAUGAAGAAGUUUUUCCUGAUAUCUAGCCUAAAUCUGCUGUCUGUCAGUUUGUGGCCAUUGCUCCUUGUUACCCCACGAGGUGCCCUGGUGAACAGAGAAUCUCCGGUUCCUUGCUGCGCCCCCUAAUAAAUGUAUAGGCAGCUACAAGAUCCCUCCUCGGCCUUCUCUUGUGGAGGCUAAAGAGGUCCAGGUCCCUCAGUCUCUCCUCACAGGGAUUGGCCUGUAAACCCUUAGCCAUACCCCCAUGUUGGGGGCUACUUCGUGGGUCAUGCCUAUAUGGCUCCCACAUUUCCUAUUGUGAUUUAAUUUUCUAAGAAGUUGCUCAGAUGGCAAGAAAUGUUUCUGCAAAUUGCUUAUUACUAAAAAACCCCCUGUUUUUAAUUUAGUUCACUUGCUCUCUAAUUAUGAAGGCAGCCUAACAAUUCUGUCCAAGCAGUUGCAUCUGGCCUCUACAGAAAAAGAGGGAUAAAGGCCCCCUGUACGCAUUACAGGUAUUGCACAAUUCACUGAUUAAUUGCACAGUUACCUUAAGACCAACUACAUAUGUAAAGUAUCUAUCACAUAAUAAAAAGCUCCAACCAGCUAUGAAGUCAGAUCUUGAAAAUGUGUAGUAACUUUAUAGCUGGUUGCUAUCAAGCUUUAAUUAGCAUGUGUAGAAGGGUCUCUCCUGUAGCCAGGAAGCCCGUCAACUGACAGGGCUCCAGCCUCAGGGGUGCAAUUUGCCCAGGGUGAAAACCCUCAGCCCUGGGGGUCACAGCUGCUGUGAUCCAGGGCUGAGGAGGGGUGAAACCCCCCGCCCCCAUGGGGAUCUCGGUCCAGCUCUUCAUCUGGAGUGGGGACCAAGAGACCCCACAGCUGAUGGGGCUUCCCAUCCCAGCUGUGCUUUACUCAUGGCUGGGACCAAGAGAGUCCAGAGCCGGGACAAGGCUGUGUCUUGUGCAGGUGGGACUGAGAGCCCCACAACUGACUGGGCUGCCCUUCCUGACUGUAUGUGAGCUGCAGCUGGGGCCAAGAGCCCUGUCAUUCGCUGAGCUCAGUCCUAACUACAUGUGAGGUGAAGCCCCAUCAAUCACAGGGGCUUUCAUCUGAGGCCGCAUGUGGCCUCCAUGGUUGGGAUCCCCCUCAGCAAAGAGGGCUCCCAACCAUGGGGACCUGCUUCUUUCUAGGGCAGGCUCAAUUUCCCCCUACACCAGCAAUAUGGCAUGAUUGGUUCUAAUGUGCAAUCGUGCUACACAUGCAAGGCAGGAGGCACGAUUAUGGGGAUCCUGCAUUAGAUCCAGUUGUGCCUUUACCUUUACCUGCACAUGUAGAGGGGGCCUUAGAAAAUGAAGUCCAUAUUCCUUUGUGAAAUAGUUAUCAUUUCAUAAAGGGGCUCAGUUAUUGCUUAGUGAUUUCUUUUUCAAACUGGCCAAAACCCCUCCCCUCCCCCCGCAAAAAAACCAAAUCAACCCUAAACAACCCCCUCCCUCCCAGAGGGCAGAUGUUCAAAACCAUCUACUUCCUCUGUGAUUCACUUGGGCCAUCUGUGUCAUGCAGUGCCUUUCAUCCAGAAGGAUCCCAAAGCAUUUCAUAUACAAACUUAGACUUCAGUUCAGCUCAUGCCUGCUAGACCAAAUGUCUAACACAUACUUAGCUUAACAAGUUUCAAUGGAACUUAAGUAUGUGAUUGAGGGCCUUGUUGCACGUUAAUUUUAGGUGGCGCCUGGAGCUCUUAACCCUGGAUUGUGUCUGCACACAACCACCUGAAACUAGUUUGAAGCACACUUUAGGUGGAUUAAGGUUAUGCUACUCCAGUUACACCUCUCUGAUCCGUGUUGCUCUGUCAACAUGUGGCCACUGCCCACAGAUGAGCCACUCAAGUUGCCAUCCUCCAGCAUCCCAGCAUGCAGUGUCCCCUUCCCCACCUUCCUGUUCUGUGUGGACAAACUUUCCACCCCGAACGCUACUGCCCAAAAGGUCAGUCUGGCACCAACCCAAGUCCCGCUCCCACCUUGACGUGUGUGACCUUCCCACUCCCAGGGGUGCAAUGCUGUGAAAACAGCCUACAGAGCACAUGCCAGUUAGUCUGGUUGCAGGGCACAGACGGACCCAGAAGUGGGGUCUAGGUGGGAGGAGGGGGGCAGGAAGGGAAAAAGGUAGCAAAACCCCCAGUUUUUCUUUUUUUUUUAUUUAAAAAUACAUUUCCUCCCCUAACCAUUUCUGACUUUCUCUCUGCCCUCUCUAUCCCUUAUACAUGAUUACAAGUAGUACUAGGUAAGCUAAAAUAAGUUCUUGUAUACUAUUAUUGUAAUAAGCCCCUUUUUAAUAUAUUGUAAGUAGUGUUCUGUUGUUUGUAUUGUUUUUUACUGUUUUAUAUUGUAUUAUAUUGUAUUCCUAUCAUUUGUGCAUUGAUUUUUAUUGUUUCAUAUUAAUAUUGUAUGGUUUAGACCUGUCUGUAAAGUGAUGUCAAAUAUUCAUUCCCAUUUUGUCCUCAUGCCCUGUUGUGUAACUAUGUUGCAAUUCUGUCACCUCUCCCAUGUAAAUUGGUUUUCCUUGAAUGCCUGAAACAAAAGAGUGAAUGGGUAAAUGAAACACAAAGAUAGCAGGACCCCCUACUAAAUCACCCCACCAUCAAAACCAGUAUCUGAACCAAUGACUCAGCCAUUGGAACCACCCUCCGCAUUCAAGAAACAAAAGAUGAGGCAACCCACCAUUGUGCCAAAGCUGCACAUGCCCAGUAUGAACACCUGGAGCCCUCUGGGACAGGACUGACAUUGCCAUAGGAGAUCAGAGGUAGUCUGCCCCAUAAAAAGGGGUGGUGAAGACUGACUCCUUGGGAUGCCAUCUGCACCUGGACCAGACUUGCUCCACAUCACGCUGCCUAUCAACCCAGAGGCCCUACCGGAGAUGCCCUCUGGACAACACCUGCUGGAGAAAGACCCCGACUGGCUAUCAAAGACCCCCUCCCAGCCUGCAUAGGUAGCUAUCACCCCCAUCCUCUCUUCAGCCAAGGACUUGGACUCUGUUUCUCUUCCCUACCUGGACUCCAACCCUUCCACUGAGUCUCUUUUUUCUGCUACCAUUGUGUGUGUGUGUGUGUGUGUGUGUGUGUGUGUGUGUGAACCAAUCUGUACAGUACAGUGUUCAUUGAAUAAAAAUGUUAUUUGGA